UACGGGGGGAGCAAGCGUUGUUCGGAUUUACUGGGCGUAAAGGGCGCGUAGGCGGUCAGCACAAGUCAGUUGUGAAAUCUCCGGGCUUAACUCGGAAAGGUCAACUGAUACUGUGCGACUAGAGUGCGGAAGGGGCAACUGGAAUUCUUGGUGUAGCGGUGAAAUGCGUAGAUACUGGGAGGAACACCGGUGGCGAAGGCGGCUACCUGGACCGGUUCUGACGCUGAUGCGCGAAAGCGUGGGUAGCAAACAGG
rnacentral:rRNA from 1 species